rnacentral:rRNA from 1 species
GAUGAACGCUGGCGGCGUGCCUAAUACAUGCAAGUCGAGCGAACAGAUGAGGCGCUUGCUCCUCUGACGUUAGCGGCGGACGGGUGAGUAACACGUGGAUAACCUACCUAUAAGACUGGGAUAACUUCGGGAAACCGGAUCUAAUACCGGAUAAUAUAUUGAACCGCAUGGUUCAAUAGUGAAAGACGGUUUUGCUGUCACUUAUAGAUGGAUCCGCGCCGCAUUAGCUAGUUGGUAAGGUAACGGCUUACCAAGGCAACGAUGCGUAGCCGACCUGAGAGGGUGAUCGGCCACACUGGAGCUGAGACACGGUCCAGACUCCUAAGGGAGGCAGCAGUAGGGAAUCUGCCGCAAUGGGCGAAAGCCUGGCGGAGCAACGCCGCGUGAGUGAUGAAGGUCUUCGGAUCGUAAAACUCUGUUAUUAGGGAAGAACAAAUGUGUAAGUAACUAUGCACGUCUUGACGGUACCUAAUCAGAAAGCCACGGCUAACUACGUG